rnacentral:lncRNA from 13 species
GUGAGUGUCAAUGCGACAAAUGCGCGUACCGCUGAUGACAGGUGUGCGUCAUGAACGGCGCUGACGACAGGCUGAUGAAACCAUGAUUCCCAAACGCCUUGAGCCGCAUUCAUAAAUACCAGGAACCAGUAGCUUCUUCCAGUUGAAGUCCUGGCCCAUCAAGAGAAGGUUGGAGUCCUGGCCCAGCAAGAAAAGGUUGGAGUCCUGGCCCAGCAAGAAAAGGUUGGAGUCCUGGCCCAGCGAGAAAAGGUUGGAGUCCUGGCCCAGCAAGAAAAGGUUGGAGUUUUGGCCCAGCAAGAAAACAAUUGGAGUCCUGGCCCAGCGAGAAAAAAUUGGAGUCCUGGCCCUGCGAGAAAAGGUUGGAGACCUGGCCCAGCGAGAGAAGGUUGGAGUCCUGGCCCAGCAAGAAAAGGUUGGAGUCCUGGCCCAGCAAGAAAAGGUUGGAGUCCUGGCCCAGCGAGAAAAGGUUGGAGUCCUGGCCCAGCAAGAAAAGGUUGGAGUCCUGGCGCAGCAAAAGAAGGUUGGAGUUUUGGCCCAGCAAGAAAACAAUUGGAGUCCUNNNNNNNNNNNNNNNNNNNNNNNNNNNNNNNNNNNNNNNNNNNNNNNNNNNNNNNNNNNNNNNNNNNNNNNNNNNNNNNNNNNNNNNNNNNNNNNNNNNNCUCUCUCGCUCUCUCGCUCUCUCUCUCGACUGCAAUGUAACAGCAAUAUUUAGACUUAGGGAUGCCAACCGUUAGAUAAAAUACAGAACGGUUCCGUAUUUCACUGAAAGAAUAAACGUUGUUGAAAUUAUAGUUUCCGGAUUCGACCAUAUUAAUGACCAAAGGCUCGUAUUUCUGUGUGUUAUUAUGUUAUAAUUAAGUCUAUGAUUUGAUAGAGCAGUCUGACUGAGCGAUGGUAGGCACCAGCAGGCUUGUAAGCAUUCAUUCAAACAGCACAUUUGUGCGUUUUGCCAGCAGCUCUUCGCAAUGCUUCAAGCAUUGCGCUGUUUAUGACUUCAAGCCUAUCAACUCCCGAGAUUAGGCUGGUGUAACUGAUGUGAAAUGGCUAGCUAGUUAGCGGUGUGCGCGCUAAUAGCAUUUCAAACGUCACUCGCUCUGAGACUUGGAGUAGUUGUCCCCCUUGCUCUGCAUGGGGAACAACCUGCCUAUAAGAACAUCCAAAAAUCAAAGGUAUAUGAAAUACAAACGGUAUAGAGAGAAAUAGUUAAAUAAAUACUAUAUUACCUACAACCUAAAACUUCUUACCUGGGAAUAUUGAAGACUCGUGUUAAAAGGAACCACCAGCUUUCAUAUGUUCUCAUGUUCUGUAGCUUUCUUACAUGGCACAUAUUGCACUUUUACUUUCUUCUCCAACACUUUGUUUGUGCAUUAUUUAAACCAAAUUGAACAUGUUUCAUUAUUUAUUUGAGGCUAAAUAGAUUUUUAUUGAUGUAUUAUAUUAAGUUAAAAUAAGUGUUCAUUCAGUAUUGUUGUAAUUGUCAUUAUUACAAAUUAAUGUUAAAAAAAAUGUUUUAAAUCGUCCAAUUAAUCGGUCGACCUGUAAAACACACACACACACACACACACACACACAGAGAUCUACACAAACCAACACACAGACGCACACAUCCACACAAACCAACACACACACACCACUAACUCCCACUGCAAUGGCAGUCAAUGUUAAUUUAGACCAUAUAAAGUCUCCCUGUGACAGUCUUUGUAGUUGUGUUGAAAAAUACUUGUCCUUGUUGUAUUGUAAAUAAGGAACUGAGGAUACUCCUUGUUGUAGUGUAAAUAAGGAACUCAGAGGAUACUCCUUGUUGUAGUGUAAAUAAGGAACUGAGAGGAUACUCCUUGUUGUUGUGUAAAUGGAUACUCCUUGUUGUAGUGUAAAUAAGGAACUGAGAGGAUACUCCUUGUUGUAGUGUAAAUAAGGAACUGAGGAUACUCCUUGUUGUAGUGUAAAUAAGGAACUGAGGAUAUUCCUUGUUGUAGUGUAAAUGGAUACUCCUUGUUGUAGUGUAAAUAAGGAACUGAGGAUAUU